rnacentral:lncRNA from 1 species
GUCUAUUGUGGGGAGUUGUCUCAUUCGCGAUCAUACCACAUCUUCAUUUUUAUACAAGCGCUAAAAGGUGAUUUCACCUCUUCGAACCAGAUCUUCAAACAUACGAAUAUAAAACAUUUAAAAGGUAGAACGUAUAAAAAUCAAAUAAGAAACAAAUAAGUAUCGAACAUAAAGCAACAGGAUCGGUUGAGCACAAACACAUAUAAAUAGGUUAUAAAAAGGUCAUUUUACCUCAACAAAUUUAGAACUAUAACCAGAGAUAAGGAAGGAUAUCAAAAAUCGAAUAAGUAACGAAUAAGGAAUAAGGGACCGUUCAAUAUUUAUCAGAUGGAUGGGCCGGUGCAAAAUGGGGCGGGGCAAGCACUUUUUUUGUGGAAAUAUUUGGAUGGGCAAGAACUUUUUUUAAAAUAUUUAGUGGAUGGGCCAGAACAUAUUUUAUAGGAAAAAUUUUGCUAUCAAUUUUAUUGGUUUGUAAGAUAUUUCUUUUGCGUGCACUCAAAACAUGUCUCAACAAACUGGUAGCUUGGCUCAUUUCUGUCAAUUUUAAGGAUUUAAUUAAGGAAUAAAAAGCUAGAAUUUUCUGUUUAGACUAUCUUUUAAAUUAUUUUGACCUUAU